GCGAGUGAAGCGGGAAGAGCUCAAGCUUGAAAUCUGAGGCGCUUGCGUCCACAGAAUUGUAGUUGAGAGAAGUGCUUUCACCGGGACGAGCGAUGGCCUAAGUUGCUUGGAACAGCACGUCAUAGAGGGUGAGAAUCCCGUCUGUGGUUGGUCGGUCCCUCGGAACGAUGCACUUUCAAAGAGUCGGGUUGUUUGGGAAUGCAGCCCAAAAUGGGUGGUAAACUCCAUCUAAAGCUAAAUAUUGCCACGAGACCGAUAGCGAACAAGUACCGUGAGGGAAAGAUGAAAAGCACUUUGAAAAGAGAGUUAAAAGCACGUGAAACCGUUGAAAGGGAAACGCGCUCGGCUAGCAAUGUGCGUCUGUGAUUCAGCCGGCUAGUCUUGUCGAGUUGCCGUGUGGCGGAUCCGAAUGGACUGUCCGCGGCAGCGGCGGUGGGCGAGCUAUGGUGCACUUCAUGGACGCGCGCGUCAGCGUCGGUUCUCGACGGACGAUAAGGUGCGUGGGAAAGGUAGCUCGGUCUUCGGACGGAGUGUUAUAGGCCCGUGCGCUGGGUUCGUCGUGGGACCGAGGAGAGAGAUGAUCGCUGCGGCACCUGCCUCUCGGGGCUAGCCAGCUGUUUGCCAGGUGUGCGCCAGGCGCCGAGGACUGCACGCAGUGCUUGGUGUUGAGGUGUGAUCUGGCGGUGGUGUGGGUAUAGAGGUGCCUAGGACGCUGGCGUCCAAAUG
rnacentral:rRNA from 1 species